rnacentral:rRNA from 1 species
AUUGAACGCUGGCGGCAUGCCUUACACAUGCAAGUCGAACGGUAACAGGUUAAGCUGACGAGUGGCGAACGGGUGAGUAAUAUAUCGGAACGUGCCCAGUCGUGGGGGAUAACGUAGCGAAAGCUACGCUAAUACCGCAUACGAUCUAUGGAUGAAAGCGGGGGAUCGCAAGACCUCGCGCGAUCGGAGCGGCCGAUAUCAGAUUAGGUAGUUGGUGGGGUAAAGGCCCACCAAGCCAACGAUCUGUAGCUGGUCUGAGAGGACGACCAGCCACACUGGAACUGAGACACAGUCCAGACUCCUACGGGAGGCAGCAGUGGGGAAUUUUGGACAAUGGGCGAAAGCCUGAUCCAGCCAUUCCGCGUGCAGGAUGAAGGCCCUCGGGUUGUAAACUGCUUUUGUACAGAACGAAAAGGUUUCUACUAAUACUAGGAGCUCAUGACGGUACUGUAAGAAUAAGCACCGGCUAACUACGUGCCAGCCGCCGCCGUAA